rnacentral:rRNA from 1 species
GAUGAACGCUGGCGGCGUGCCUAAUACAUGCAAGUCGAGCGAAUGGAUUAAGAGCUUGCUCCUAUGAAGUUAGCGGCGGACGGGUGAGUAACACGUGGGUAACCUGCCCAUAAGACUGGGAUAACUCCGGGAAACCGGGGCUAAUACCGGAUAACAUUUUGAACCGCAUGGUUCGAAAUUGAAAGGCGGCUUCGGCUGUCACUUAUGGAUGGACCCGCGUCGCAUUAGCUAGUUGGUGAGGUAACGACUCACCAAGGCAACGAUGCGUAGCCGACCUGAGAGGGGGAUCGGCCACACUGGGACUGAGACACGGCCCAGACUCCUACGGGAGGCAGCAGUAGGGAAUCUUCCGCAAUGGACGAAAGUCUGACGGAGCAACGCCGCGUGAGUGAUGAAGGCUUUCGGGUCGUAAAACUCUGUUGUUAGGGAAGAACAAGUGCUAGUUGAAUAAGCUGGCACCUUGACGGUACCUAACCAGAAAGCCACGGCUAACUACGUGCCAGCCGCCGCAGUAA